rnacentral:rRNA from 1 species
GACGGAGGAUGCAAGCGUUAUCCGGAAUUAUUGGGCGUAAAGCGUCCGCAGGUGGCUGUUCAAGUCUGCUGUCAAAGCGCAGAGCUUAACUCUGUACAGGCGGUGGAAACUGAAGAGCUAGAGUAUGGUAGGGGUAGAGGGAAUUCCCGGUGUAGCGGUGAAAUGCGUAGAUAUCAGGAAGAACACCCGUGGCGAAGGCGGCUCUCUGGGACGGUACUGACGCUGAGACGCGAAAGCGUGGGGAGCGAACAGG